rnacentral:rRNA from 1 species
AACAGGAUUAGAUACCCUGGUAGUCCACGCCGUAAACGAUGUCGACUUGGAGGUUGUGCCCUUGAGGCGUGGCUUCCGGAGCUAACGCGUUAAGUCGACCGCCUGGGGAGUACGGCCGCAAGGUUAAAACUCAAAUGAAUUGACGGGGGCCCGCACAAGCGGUGGAGCAUGUGGUUUAAUUCGAUGCAACGCGAAGAACCUUACCUACUCUUGACAUCCAGAGAACUUAGCAGAGAUGCUUUGGUGCCUUCGGGAACUCUGAGACAGGUGCUGCAUGGCUGUCGUCAGCUCGUGUUGUGAAAUGUUGGGUUAAGUCCCGCAACGAGCGCAACCCUUAUCCUUUGUUGCCAGCGGUUCGGCCGGGAACUCAAAGGAGACUGCCAGUGAUAAACUGGAGGAAGGUGGGGAUGACGUCAAGUCAUCAUGGCCCUUACGAGUAGGGCUACACACGUGCUACAAUGGCAUAUACAAAGAGAAGCGACCCCGCGAGAGCAAGCGGACCUCAUAAAGUAUGUCGUAGUCCGGAUUGGAGUCUGCAACUCGACUCCAUGAAGUCGGAAUCGCUAGUAAUCGUGGAUCAGAAUGCCACGGUGAAUACGUUCCCGGGCCUUGUACACACCGCCCGUCACACCAUGGGAGUGGGUUGCAAAAGAAGUAGGUAGCUUAACCUUCGGGAGGGCGCUUACCACUUUGUGAUUCAUGACUGGGGUGAAGUCGUAACAAGGUAACC